rnacentral:rRNA from 1 species
UACGUAGGGGGCUAGCGUUGCUCGGAAUUACUGGGCGUAAAGGGCGCGUAGGCGGAUAGUUCAGUCGGGGGUGAAAGCCCGGGGCUCAACCUCGGAACUGCCUUCGAUACUGGCUAUCUUGAGUACGGGAGAGGUGUGUGGAACUCCGAGUGUAGAGGUGAAAUUCGUAGAUAUUCGGAAGAACACCAGUGGCGAAGGCGACACACUGGCCCGUUACUGACGCUGAGGCGCGAAAGCGUGGGGAGCAAACAGG